GUGCUCACUUUGGCAGCAUAUAUUCUAAUAGUGGAAUGAUACAGAGAAAAUUAGCAUGGCCCCUUCACAAGGAUGAUAUGCAAAUUCAUGAAACAUUCCAUAUUUUU
ensembl:snRNA U6 U6 spliceosomal RNA